rnacentral:RNase_P_RNA from 1 species
AUUACAAACUGGGUUAUCGCUCCUGCGUCUGCAGGUGAGGAAAGUCCGGACAGCACAGAGCAGCGCACCAUCUAACGGAUGGGACCUCACGCCAGUGAGGGACAGAAAGUGCCACAGAAAAUAACCGCCUUCAAGAUUGGGGGUAAGGGUGAAAAUGUAGAGUAAGAGCCUACGCUAUUUGGUGGCAACACUAGAUAGGGGUAAACCUUGCGCGCUGAAAUAUCAAAUAGUCGGACGAUUGAGGACGGCUCGUUUGAUGUCCGUGGGUUGAUAGCUAGAGGUGUUGCGCGAGCAGCAUCCCAGAUAAAUGAUAACCAUCCCGGGACCAUACGGGAUACAGAAUCCGGCUUAUAGGUUUGUAGUUGUU